rnacentral:SRP_RNA from 1 species
GCCGGGCGCGGUGGCGCGCGCCUGUAAUCCCAGCUCCCCGGGAGGCUGAGGUCGGCGGAUCGCGGGUGCUCGGGAGUUCGGGGCUGCGGCGAUGUGUGGAGCGGGCGUCCGCACCGGGCCUGGCACCAACAUGGGGCUCCCGGGGGAGCCCGGGGGUGCCAGGUUGUCUAAGGAGGGGGGGACCAGGCCCAGGCCGGACACGGAGCAGGUCAAACUCCCCGUGCUGGGCGGCGGUGGGACCGCGCCCGCGAGCAACGCCUGCAGUUCUGCCCGGGACAUCUGACGAGACCCGGUCUCUU